UCAGUCGACUCCUACGGGGAGGCAGCAGUGGGGGAAUAUUGCACAAUGGGCGCAAGCCUGAUGCAGCCAUGCCGCGUGUGUGAAGAAGGCCUUCGGGUUGUAAAGCACUUUCAGUCGUGAGGAAGGUGGUAGUGUUAAUAGCACUAUCAUUUGACGUUAGCGACAGAAGAAGCACCGGCUAACUCCGUGCCAGCAGCCGCGGUAAUACGGAGGGUGCGAGCGUUAAUCGGAAUUACUGGGCGUAAAGCGCAUGCAGGUGGUUUGUUAAGUCAGAUGUGAAAGCCCGGGGCUCAACCUCGGAAUUGCAUUUGAAACUGGCAGACUAGAGUACUGUAGAGGGGGGUAGGAAUUUCAGGUGUAGCGGUGAAAUGCGUAGAGAUCUGAAGGAAUACCGGUGGCGAAGGCGGCCCCCUGGACAGAUACUGACACUCAGAUGCGAAAGCGUGGGGAGCAAACAGGAUUAGAUACCCUGGUAG
rnacentral:rRNA from 1 species